GACGAACGCUGGCGGCGUGCUUAACACAUGCAAGUCGAACGGCAAGGCCCUGCUUUUGUGGUGUGCUCGAGUGGCGAACGGGUGAGUAACACGUGAGUAACCUGCCCUUGACUUUGGGAUAACUUCAGGAAACUGGGGCUAAUACCGGAUAGGAGCUCCUGCUGCAUGGUGGGGGUUGGAAAGUUUCGGCGGUGGGGGAUGGAUUCGCGGCUUAUCAGCUUGUUGGUGGGGUAGUGGCUUACCAAGGCUUUGACGGGUAGCCGGCCUGAGAGGGUGACCGGCCACAUUGGGACUGAGAUACGGCCCAGACUCCUACGGGAGGCAGCAGUGGGGAAUAUUGCACAAUGGGCGGAAGCCUGAUGCAGCAACGCCGCGUGCGGGAUGACGGCCUUCGGGUUGUAAACCGCUUUCGCCUGUGACGAAGCGUGAGUGACGGUAAUGGGUAAAGAAGCACCGGCUAACUACGUG
rnacentral:rRNA from 1 species